UACGAAGGGGGCUAGCGUUGCUCGGAAUCACUGGGCGUAAAGGGUGCGUAGGCGGGUCUUUAAGUCAGGGGUGAAAUCCUGGAGCUCAACUCCAGAACUGCCUUUGAUACUGAAGAUCUUGAGUUCGGGAGAGGUGAGUGGAACUGCGAGUGUAGAGGUGAAAUUCGUAGAUAUUCGCAAGAACACCAGUGGCGAAGGCGGCUCACUGGCCCGAUACUGACGCUGAUGCACGAAAGCUGGGGGAGCAAACAGG
rnacentral:rRNA from 1 species